rnacentral:rRNA from 1 species
UACGUAGGGACCGAGCGUUGUUCGGAUUCAUUGGGCGUAAAGGGUGCGUAGGCGGCGCGGUAAGUCGGGUGUGAAAUCUCGGGGCUUAACUCCGAAACUGCAUUCGAUACUGCCGUGCUUGAGGACUGGAGAGGAGACUGGAAUUUACGGUGUAGCGGUGAAAUGCGUAGAUAUCAGGAGGAACACCAGCGGCGAAGGCGGCUCUCUGGACGGUGACUGACGCUGAGACGCGAAAGCGUGGGGAGCAAACAGG